rnacentral:rRNA from 1 species
AUGGACGUGGGGAGCGGAGCGCCGGAGGAGACGCGGCCACGGAGCAGGAGGCCGUCCCUACGGCUCCGGGCCGCAUACAAGCGAUUGGUUCUGCUUCUAACCAAGGUUUCAACCGGCCUCCGAAUCCCGUCGCCGCCGCCGCCGCCGCCGAACAAGCUCAACAUCGACGACCCAGACGAGGAUAGAAUCAGCGCGCUCACCGACGACAUCCUCCUCGGAAUCCUCGAGCGCCUCGACCUGCGCGACGCGGUCCGCGCCGGUGCAGUCUCCACGCGGUGGCAGCACCUCCCCCACCGGCUCUCGCGCCUGCACCUCGACGUCCGCCACUUCGGCGGAGCGACUGAUCCAGUCGCGACCAUGGAGGCGUUCACGGCCGCGAUGUGCAGAUUGCUGUCUCCUCCGGCUCCGGCCGAGUGCAAGCGCGCCAUCAAGACCCUCCUCCUCGACUUCUUCCCUGAGUCGGACCCUCACCUGAUAUCCAUAGGCCGCGCCGUCGAGGACGUUGUCACCCGCGGUGAGACUGAAUGUCUUGAAUUUUACAUACGCUCGACAUGCGCGGAAGAAGCUGGCGGGGUGCGUGCGCAGUCCGCGAAGGAGUUCAUGUCCUUCUCCCGUGACUGCCCAGUUGCGUUCCGCUGGCUCACCGUGCUAACUCUCACGCAACUCAUGUUCCGAGACACCGAUGUGGCCGAAAUCAUUAGGGCUUGCGAUAACCUCAAGCACCUCACCCUUAGAUUCUGCACACUGGUUAAGGAGCACUCCACGUCCACGGUCAAGAUCGACACGCCGUGCUCUGGGCUCCAGGUGCUCGACUUGUUCCGCUUUGUUUGCACGCGGGUCGAGCUUGUCUCUGUCCCCAAGCUCAGGAAAGUGUGGUGCGAAUCAUGGUACAGGGGGAACCCCCCGGUGAGCUUCGGCUACGUUCCAGAGCUUCGCGAUGUGACCUUCAGCUCUCAUGCCAUGACGUGGCAGGCACCAUUCUUGCUGAGCGAGUGCAUGUCAAGGAGUGCCACCAACCUGUCUAAACUCUCUUUUAAUUUUUGCUGCCAAAUGAUUUGGAUUAAGCCGGAACAUCCAAAGCACCUCACUGCUAUGUUCAGAAACCUGACGGAUGUGGAGUUUUUCGCUAUCUUUCCUGAGUGUGAUCUGAGCUGGACCCUGUUUAUCCUUGAAGCUGCACCUGCGCUACAGACUUUCAACUUGUCUCGAGAACGGCAUGCUUGUCUCGGAACGGUCGAGGACAGUGCCAAGAAGACCAAUGUGAUGUGGGACCCAUCCAAGAAUUUGAAGCACCUGAACUUGAAGUCGCUGAUGAUGUCCGGGUUCGAGGAGAAAGACAAGGUGACAAACUACAUAAGGCUAGUCAUGGAGCGAGCUGUGGGAUUGAAGAGAAUCGAGAUGUAUGGUGUACACCCAUGUGAGAAAUGCGAUGCCACUGACCCGACGAGAUCCCAGGUGAAUGAAGCUUGCAGGCGUCGGGUCAAGGAGCGACUCACACAUGGAUCCUCCUCAACCGUGGAGAUAUUAAUAAUGUACUACAUCGUCUCAUAA